rfam:Clostridiales bacterium 41_12_two_minus Ley3_66761_scaffold_4466, whole genome shotgun sequence.
CCUGUACUCACUGUCCAGCCACAGACUCAAGCAAUGGGGGCAGCUCGGAGAGAUCCUCGGAGGGGUGAGAUUCCCG